rnacentral:rRNA from 2 species
UACGUAGGGGGCGAGCGUUGUCCGGAAUUACUGGGCGUAAAGGGCGCGUAGGCGGCCCGCUAAGUCCGCUGUGAAAGCCCGGGGCUCAACCCCGGAGGGCCAGCGGAGACUGUCGGGCUGGGGUGUCGGAGAGGAGCGCGGAAUCCCUGGUGUAGCGGUGGAAUGCGUAGAGAUCAGGGGGAACACCGAUGGCGAAGGCAGCGCUCUGGCCGACGACCGACGCUGAGGCGCGAAAGCUGGGGGAGCGAACGGG